CGCGUAGGCGGCCGUUUAAGUCUGGAGUGAAAGUCCUGCCUUCAAGGUGGGAAUUGCUUUGGAUACUGGAUGGCUUGAGUGCAGGAGAGGUUAGUGGAAUUCCCAGUGUAGCGGUGAAAUGCGUAGAGAUUGGGAGGAACACCAGUGGCGAAGGCGACUAACUGGACUGUAACUGACGCUGAGGCGCGAAAGUGUGGGGAGCAAACA
rnacentral:rRNA from 1 species